rnacentral:rRNA from 1 species
UGGGGAAUUUUGGACAAUGGGCGCAAGCCUGAACCAGCCAUGCCGCGUGCAGGAAGACGGCCCUCUGGGUUGUAAACUGCUUUUAUUCGGGAAUAAACCUAUUUACGUGUAAGUAGCUGAAUGUACCGAAGGAAUAAGGAUCGGCUAACUCCGUGCCAGCAGCCGCGGUAAUACGGAGGAUCCAAGCGUUAUCCGGAUUUAUUGGGUUUAAAGGGUGCGUAGGCGGCCUAUUAAGUCAGGGGUGAAAGACGGUAGCUCAACUAUCGCAGUGCCCUUGAUACUGAUGGGCUUGAAUGGACUAGAGGUAGGCGGAAUGUGACAAGUAGCGGUGAAAUGCAUAGAUAUGUCACAGGACACCGAUUGAGAAGGCAGCUUACUAGGGUUUAAAUGACGCUGAGGCAUGAAAGCGUGGAGAUCAAGCA